CCAAAGGGCCUGACCCAAAGCCCAUUGCAGUCAAUGGGAGUCUUUCAUUGAUUUCACUGGGCUUUGGAUCAGGUCAAAAGG
rnacentral:pre_miRNA from 1 species